CAUUUUAAAUUGCAUCUUUUUUGGCUUGGGAAACUGAAAAAAUAAUUUGGGAGACGGCUCGAAGGUUUAGGGAAAGAAGAGAAAGGUUGAGUUUUUAAUUGAUAUUCCAUUUUUCAAUAAUGGUUUAUUCAUUCUUUUUCCUAUUGUGCUUUUUUCAUAAUUUUACAUCAUCAUGAUUCCCUGAUGUGUAGUUAUUCCUAACGUUGUUGACACUACUAUUCUUAUUCAUGAAUUUCAAGUCAUCCUAAACAUUUAUUUUGUUGUUUCUUUCAAAUAUGAUAUGUUCUUAUUUGAUAUUUACUCUCAUUAACAUAGUUGGUUCAAAUAUGGUAUAUGCUCAAUAUAUGAGGUUCUUUCUAAUUUAGUUAAAAUUUUGAAAGUAGUCUGUCUUUAUAUUGGAAAAGUUUUGUAGGGAAGGCACAUGUAUUCUUCUUUCUUUUUUACCAUUGUUUUAUCUUUUGAGUCCAUUUGUUAUGUUGAAGGGGAGAACUAUGUUGAAGGGGAGGAAGUGUCCAAUCGUGCAACUGUUGAAAGCAAACAGAAAGAAGUGCUCAAGGUAAUUGUCACCGAGGUUUUGGAUGGUGACAAGUUUUAUGUUCAGACAAUUCCGGACCAAACAGCCACUUCUCUACAGCAGCAACUAGAGACUUUGAAUCUUCAAGAAGUCCCUUUAAUCUGUGGUUUUAGUCCUAAAAAAGGUAGGCUAUGCUACUAUGGCUAUUGGAGCGCCUUGGAUUUUUCAUUCUAUAAAGCAAUUGGUUGAACCAUUACUCUUUAGUUGUCAUGUCGUUCCAUUGAUGCUUACAGAUUUCAAGGAGUUGAGGAUAACAAUCGAUGAGGCUUUGAUCAGUUUGGAGUCAUCUAAGAGUGUUGUGGUGCUUGGAGGAGGGUGAUAUCUCUUUUUCUUAUUAUUACAUAUACUUUCUGUUUUAUGAUUAAGAACAAUGUUCAUAACGGGUUUUGUAAUAUGAAUGAGAACAAUAUGUUUCUAUGUUGUAAGUAUGUAAUGACCAACUAUAUGUAUAUGUUUCAAUGAUAUAUAUGCAAUUUGUUAGUUAUUUGAUUGAAAA